rnacentral:rRNA from 1 species
GGUUUGAUGUACCUGUCCCGCUGCAGCAAUGCAUGUGAGUGACGGAGUAUGUCUGCCAUCCUUCUAGAGAACUCAAGCUAUCCUUUACUGGACCGGUUUGGGUCAUCUAGAUCUUUUACUUUGAAAAAAUUAGAGUGUUUCAAGCAGGCGUUUUGCUAUGAAUACAUUAGCAUGGAAUAAUGAGUUAGGACUUCGGUUCUAUUUUGUUGGUUUCUAGGACUGAAGUA